rnacentral:rRNA from 1 species
UACGGAGGGUGCAAGCGUUAUCCGGAUUCACUGGGUUUAAAGGGUGCGUAGGAGGGCAGGUAAGUCAGUGGUGAAAUCUCCGAGCUUAACUCGGAAACUGCCGUUGAUACUAUCUGUCUUGAAUACCGUGGAGGUGAGCGGAAUAUGUCAUGUAGCGGUGAAAUGCUUAGAUAUGACAUAGAACACCAAUUGCGAAGGCAGCUCACUACACGAGCAUUGACUCUGAGGCACGAAAGCGCGGGGAUCAAACAGG